rnacentral:misc_RNA from 1 species
GAUGAAGAACGUAGCGAAAUGCGAUAAGUAAUGUGAAUUGCAGAAUUCAGUGAAUCAUCGAAUCUUUGAACGCACAUUGCGCCCGCUAGUAUUCUGGCGGGCAUGCCUGUCCGAGCGUCAUUUCAACCCUCAAGCCCCCGGGCUUGGUGUUGGGGAUCGGCGAGCCUCCGCGCCCGCCGUCCCCUAAAUCUAGUGGCGGUCUCGCUGUAGCUUCCUCUGCGUAGUAGCACACCUCGCACUGGGAAACAGCGCGGCCACGCCGUUAAACCCCCAACUUCUGAACGUUUGACCUCGGAUCAGGUAGGAAUAUCCGCUGAACUUAAGCAUAUCAAUAAGCGGAGGA